rnacentral:rRNA from 1 species
GCCCACAAGGCCUUUACUGACGCUAAAGCUCGAAGGUGCGGGUAUCGAACAGGAUUAGAUACCCUGGUAGUCCGCACGGUAAACGAUGGAUGCCCGCUGUUUGCGAUAUACUGUGAGCGGCCAAGAGAAAUCGUUAAGCAUCCCACCUGGGGAGUACGCCGGCAACGGUGAAACUCAAAGGAAUUGACGGGGGCCCGCACAAGCGGAGGAACAUGUGGUUUAAUUCGAUGAUACGCGAGGAACCUUACCCGGGCUUGAACUGCAGAGGAAGGAUCUGGAGACAGUGACGCCCUUCGGGGCCUCUGUGGAGGUGCUGCAUGGUUGUCGUCAGCUCGUGCCGUGAGGUGUCGGCUUAAGUGCCAUAACGAGCGCAACCCCUUUCAUUAGUUGCCAUCACUUCGGGUGGGCACUCUGGUGAUACUGCCACCGUAAGGUGCGAGGAAGGUGGGGAUGACGUCAAAUCAGCACGGCCCUUACGUCCGGGGCUACACACGUGUUACAAUGGGUGAUACAGAGGGCAGGUGCAUGGCAAUGUGCAUCAAAUCUUGAAAGUCAUCCUCAGUUCGGAUUGGGGUCUGCAACCCGACCCCAUGAAGCUGG